UGGGGAAUAUUGCGCAAUGGGCGAAAGCCUGACGCAGCGACGCCGCGUGAGGGAUGACGGCCUUCGGGUUGUAAACCUCUUUCAGCGCCGACGAAGUCCGUAAGGGUGACGGUAGGCGCAGAAGAAGCACCGGCUAACUACGUGCCAGCAGCCGCGGUAAUACGUAGGGUGCAAGCGUUGUCCGGAAUUAUUGGGCGUAAAGAGCUCGUAGGCGGCUUGUCGCGUCGGAUGUGAAAACCCACGGCUCAACCGUGGGCCUGCAUCCGGUACGGGCAGGCUAGAGUUCGGCAGGGGAGACUGGAAUUCCUGGUGUAGCGGUGAAAUGCGCAGAUAUCAGGAGGAACACCGGUGGCGAAGGCGGGUCUCUGGGCCGAUACUGACGCUGAGGAGCGAAAGCGUGGGGAGCAAACAGGAUUAGAUACCCCGGUAGUCC
rnacentral:rRNA from 1 species